UUAGUGGCGGACGGGUGAGUAACGCGUGGGUAACCUGCCUUACACAGGGGGAUAACACUUAGAAAUAGGUGCUAAAACCGCAUAAGCGCACAGCUUCGCAUGAAGCGGUGUGAAAAACUCCGGUGGUGUAAGAUGGACCCGCGUCUGAUUAGCUUGUUGGCGGGGUAACGCCCACCAAGGCGACGAUCAGUAGCCGGCCUGAGAGGGCGGACGGCCACAUUGGGACUGAGACACGGCCCAGACUCCUACGGGAGGCAGCAG
rnacentral:rRNA from 1 species